GUGAUUAGAGUUUGAUCAUGGCUCAGAUUGAACGCUGGCGGCAGGCCUAACACAUGCAAGUCGAGCGGAUGAGGAGAGCUGCUCUCUGAUUCAGCGGCGGGACGGGUGAGUAAUGCCUAGGAAUCUGCCUGAUAGUGGGGGACAACGUUUCGAAAGGAACGCUAAUACCGCAUACGUCCUACGGGAGAAAGCAGGGGACCUUCGGGCCUUGCGCUAUCAGAUGAGCCUAGGUCGGAUUAGCUAGUUGGUGAGGUAAUGGCUCACCAAGGCGACGAUCCGUAACUGGUCUGAGAGGAUGAUCAGUCACACUGGAACUGAGACACGGUCCAGACUCCUACGGGAGGCAGCAGUGGGGAAUAUUGGACAAUGGGCGAAAGCCUGAUCCAGCCAUGCCGCGUGUGUGAAGAAGGUCUUCGGAUUGUAAAGCACUUUAAGUUGGGAGGAAGGGCAUUAACCUAAUACGUUAGUGUUUUGACGUUACCGACAGAAUAAGCACCGGCUAACUUCGUGCCAGCAGCCGCGGUAAUACGAAGGGUGCAAGCGUUAAUCGGAAUUACUGGGCGUAAAGCGCGCGUAGGUGGUUUGUUAAGUUGAAUGUGAAAGCCCCGGGCUCAACCUGGGAACUGCAUCCAAAACUGGCAAGCUAGAGUAUGGCAGAGGGUGGUGGAAUUUCCUGUGUAGCGGUGAAAUGCGUAGAUAUAGGAAGGAACACCAGUGGCGAAGGCGACCACCUGGGCUAAUACUGACACUGAGGUGCGAAAGCGUGGGGAGCAAACAGGAUUAGAUACCCUGGUAGUCCACGCCGUAAACGAUGUCGGCUAGCCGUUGGGAUCCUUGAGAUCUUAGUGGCGCAGCUAACGCAUUAAGUCGACCGCCUGGGGAGUACGGCCGCAAGGUUAAAACUCAAAUGAAUUGACGG
rnacentral:rRNA from 1 species